rnacentral:rRNA from 1 species
AGUGGCGGACGGGUGAGUAACGCGUGAGAAUCUGCCUUGGGGUCGGGGACAACCACUGGAAACGGUGGCUAAUACCGGAUAAGCCGAUUGGUGAAAGAUUUAUUGCCCGAAGAGGAGCUCGCGUCUGAUUAGCUAGUUGGUGAGGUAAGAGCUCACCAAGGCAGCGAUCAGUAGCUGGUCUGAGAGGACGAUCAGCCACACUGGGACUGAGACACGGCCCAGACUCCUACGGGAGGCAGCAGUGGGGAAUUUUCCGCAAUGGGCCAAAGCCUGACGGAGCAAGACCGCGUGAGGGAGGAAGGCUCUUGGGUUGUAAACCUCUUUUCUCAGGGAAGAAGCUCUGACGGUACCUGAGGAAUCAGCCUCGGCUAACUCCGUGCCAGCAGCCGCGGUAAUACGGAGGAGGCAAGCGUUAUCCGGAAUUAUUGGGCGUAAAGCGUCCGCAGGUGGCGAUUCAAGUCUGCUGUCAAAGCACGGGGCUUAACUCCGUAAAGGCAGUGGAAACUGAAUAGCUAGAGUGCCGUAGGGGUAGAGGGAAUUCCCGGUGUAGCGGUGAAAUGCGUAGAGAUCGGGAAGAACAUCGGUGGCGAAAGCGCUCUACUGGACGGCAACUGACACUCAGGGACGAAAGCUAGGGGAGCGAAUGGGAUUAGAUACCCC